rnacentral:rRNA from 1 species
UGAGUGGCGGACGGGUGAGUAACACGUGGGUAACCUGCCCAGAAGUGGGGGAUAACAUUUGGAAACAGAUGCUAAUACCGCAUAAUAGAUAGAACCACAUGGUUCUAUUUUGAAAGAUGGCCUUUGUGCUAUCACUUCUGGAUGGACCCGCGGUGUAUUAGCUAGUUGGUAAGGUAACGGCUUACCAAGGCAAUGAUACAUAGCCGUACUGAGAGGUUGAUCGGNCACAAUGGGACUGAGACACGGCCCAUACUNCUACGGGAGGCAGCAGUAGGGAAUCUUUCACAAUGGGCGCAAGCCUGAUGGAGCAACACCGCUUGAGUGAAGAAGGGUUUCGGCUCGUAAAACUCUGNUGUUAAAGAAGAACGUAUUUAANAGUAACUGUUUAAGUAGCGACGGUUUUUAACCANAAAGCC